CCCUUAGAUGUUCUGGGCUGCACGCGCGCUACACUGAUGCGAUCAACAAGUUUUUCCUAUGUCGAUAGACACGGGUAAUCUUUUGAACUCGCAUCGUGAUGGGGAUAGAUUAUUGUAAUUAUUAAUCUUCAACGAGGAAUUCCUAGUAGGUGCAAAUCAUCAGUUUGCAUCGAUUACGUCCCUGCCCUUUGUACACACCACCCGUCGCUGCUACCGAUUGGUUGAUCUGGUGAAUUAUUCGGACUGCCGGCUGAAGGGGUUUCCUCAUCUGCCAGCGGAAAGUCUUGUUAACCCUAUCAACUAGAGGAAGCAGAAGUCGUAACA
rnacentral:rRNA from 1 species